AACGAACGCUGGCGGCAUGCCUAACACAUGCAAGUCGAACGAUUGCCUUCGGGUGAUAGUGGCGCACGGGUGCGUAACGCGUGGGAAUCUGCCCUUAGGUUCGGAAUAACAGCUGGAAACGGCUGCUAAUACCGGAUGAUAUCGCGAGAUCAAAGAUUUAUCGCCUGAGGAUGAGCCCGCGUUGGAUUAGGUAGUUGGUGGGGUAAAGGCCUACCAAGCCGACGAUCCAUAGCUGGUCUGAGAGGAUGAUCAGCCACACUGGGACUGAGACACGGCCCAGACUCCUACGGGAGGCAGGAGUGGGGAAUAUUGGACAAUGGGCGCAAGCCUGAUCCAGCAAUGCCGCGUGAGUGAUGAAGGCACUAGGGUUGUAAAGCUCUUUUACCCGGGAAGAUAAUGACUGUACCGGGAGAAUAAGCCCCGGCUAACUCCGUG
rnacentral:rRNA from 1 species